rnacentral:rRNA from 1 species
CCUACGGGUGGCAGCAGUGAGGAAUAUUGGUCAAUGGGCGGAAGCCUGAACCAGCCAAGCCGCGUGCAGGAUGACGGCCCUACGGGUUGUAAACUGCUUUUAUACGGGAAUAACGCGCCUUACGUGUAGGGCGUUGCAUGUACCGUAUGAAUAAGGACCGGCUAAUUCCGUGCCAGCAGCCGCGGUAAUACGGAAGGUCCGGGCGUUAUCCGGAUUUAUUGGGUUUAAAGGGAGCGUAGGCCGCAUGUCAAGCGUGCUGUGAAAUGUCCGGGCUCAACCCGGGCACUGCAGCGCGGACUGGCGUGCUUGAGUCCGGGGAAGGCAGGCGGAAUUCGUCGUGUAGCGGUGAAAUGCUUAGAUAUGACGAAGAACCCCGAUUGCGAAGGCAGCUUGCUGCAGCGGAACUGACGCUGAUGCUCGAAAGCGCGGGUAUCGAACAGGAUUAGAUACCCUGGUAGUC